rnacentral:rRNA from 1 species
CCUACGGGUGACAGCAGUGAGGAAUAUUGGUCAAUGGGCGCGAGCCUGAACCAGCCAAGUAGCGUGAAGGAUGACUGCCCUACGGGUUGUAAACUUCUUUUAUAAAGGAAUAAAGUGAGGCACGUGUGCCUUUUUGUAUGUACUUUAUGAAUAAGGAUCGGCUUACUCCGUUCCAGCAGCCGCGGUAAUACGGAGGGUCCGAGCGUUUUCCGGAUUUAUUUGGUUUAAAGGGAGCGUAGAUGGGUUGUUAAGUCAGUUGGGAAAGUUUGCGGCUCAACCGUAAAAUUGCAAUUGAUACUGGCAGACUUGAGUACAGUUGAGGUAGGCGGAAUUCGUGGUGUAGCGGUGAAAUGCUUAGAUAUCACGAAGAACUCCGAUUGCGAAGGCAGCUUACUAAACUGCCACUGACAUUGAUGCUCGAAAGUGUGGGUAUCAAACAGGAUUAGAUACCCGAGUAGUC